rnacentral:rRNA from 1 species
GACGAACGCUAGCGGCGGGCCUAAUACAUGCAAGUCGAAGGAAGUGGCGCACGGGUGAGUGAUAUAUAGCUAAAUUGCCCCUUGCUGGAGGACAACAGUUAGAAACCACUGCUAAUACUCCAUAGCAAGGGAUGAGACUAGAUGGUAUCAGCUAGUCGGUGGGGUAACGGCCUACCGGGGCUAUGACGCGUAACUGUUCUGAGAGGAUGAUCAGUGACAUUGAAACUGAGAGACGGUCCAAGUGCCUACGAGAGGCAGCAGUGGGGGAUACUGCGCCAGGGAGGAAGCCUUGAGGCAGACACGCCGCUUGGAUGAUGACACUUUUCGUAGCGUAAACUCCUUUUGUUAGUGAAGCGGUACCUAACGAAUAAGCACCGGCUAACUCCGUGCCAGCAGCCGCGGUAUUA